GGAAAGCUUCCCUUCAAAGCGCCAGCAAUUCUCUACUAACUUCGUGGACACUUCCUCCUCGUAAUGACUCCGGUUCAAGUGCAAGCGGCCCAUGCCAUUGGUAUGGAGUUUCUUGCGACAGUGAAGGAAGUGUCAUCGGAAUGAAACGUGACAACUCGUCGUAAGCGGGUACUCUCGAAAGCUUUUCAUUCUGCUAGUUCCCUAAUCUUGCAUAUAUGGAUUCUGUAUCAAUCAACUCUUGGUUCCAUCCACCUCAAAUUGGUGCCCUAUCCAAACUUGUUUACCUUAAUUUGUCUCCACCAGAAAAAUCAAUUUCGGGGGGGAACAUCCCACCAGAAAUUGGCCUGCGCUAACAAAAUAUUCGAUAACCCUCCACAUGCGUUCAAAAAACCAGUUUGAAGGCUCAAUUACUCAAGAGAUAAGCUGUUAAAGUCUCUUUCAGAGCUUGCUUUUGUACCACCCAAUCGUAUCAGUGGUCCCAUUCCUGCUUCUUUGGUUGUAAUUUGAGGCAACUUCUUGACUCUCUAUAUCUCUACGAAAAAUCAACUUUCUGGCUCCUUCCACCAGAGAAAUGGAAAUUUGCUAAUCUCAUGUGGCUUUACAUGGAUCAUAAACAAUUUUUAACAGGUCCUAUUCCUUCAACUUUCGUGAACUUGAAUAGGCUAAAAUAUGUUGAAGCUGUCGUGUGAACCAACUUUCUGGUUUCCAUCCUCAAGAAUAGGAAACUUGAAGUCCCUCAUCAGUUUAGAACUGACCCAGAUCCACUUUAUAUAAUAGAUAUAUUGUAAAUGGUACCAUUCUGCCUCAUUAGGUAACAUGUCCAAAUUAGAAACACUCCUCUUCUUGCGUAUCAAACCAAACUUUCUGGUCCCAUUCCAACAGAAGUCGGCCAAUUUGAAAAACUGCUCUUGUAUUGGUAAGGUCACAAAUCAGUAUCGGGCCAUCUACCGGAGAUUUUGCCAAGGUGGGAGGAAAACUUCAAAAAAUCACUGUGACAACAAUUCAGCUCGCCGGGGGCCAAUCCCCAAAAGUCUGAGAGACUGUAAAGCUUAGUCAGAGUCCGCCUGCCUUGAAGGAAACCAAUUCACUGGGGAAAGCAUAUUUGAAGCCUUGAUGUCAUCCAAAUCUAAAAAAUUGGAUCGAAGUCGCAAUAACUUCAUGGUGAAACUCAAAAAACGGAGUAGCUGCCCCCGACUGCAAAACUUUGAUGAGGCAGGCGAACAACAUACCGGUCGCAUACCACCAGAGUUGGGAGAAGAUUCGCCUCAACUUCAAAGGGCUUAACCGUUUCCAAUCAUUUGAUUGGGGAGGUCCCACAUGAAUUGGGGAAGUGAAUUCUCUGCUCGACUCUAUCUGGAGAAACCAACACUCCGGCAGUAUAACUAAAGAACUUGGAUCCCUGACUAAACUGCAGAAGCUGACCUUCCAUAAACAGAUAAAUGGGCCAUAGCAGCUGGAAAUUGGAGAAUUGCAUGCAACUGAUUAACUGAAUUUGAGCAGCAUAAUUUUAGCCAAAGCAUCCCAGAGCAACUGAGUACUUACCUAAAACUGUCAACCAUGGAUCUAAGUCAGAAUUUCACUUUCAGGGAGGGAUUACCGCACAGUUCAAAGUUCAAGAGGUUUGGAUGGGUUGAGCCUCUCCCACAAUAAUCUUUAUGGUGCAUUCCAAGGAAUUUGAAGACAUGCAUUGGUUGCAUCACAUGAUAUAUCCUACAAUGAGUUGGAGGGUCCCAUUCCCACCAGCAAAGCCCGUUAGUGAAUGCUUCCAUAGAGGCAUGCAAGGGAACAAACAUUGUGUGGAAAUGUCACAGGAUUGCAGCUUGCAAAAAUUUCAUUUUGAGUGAACAAAAACACUGCACGAGAACAGACUCUUAUUCUAAUAAUCGUGCUCCCCUUGGCGGAGCACUUUACUUCUAGGUGCACUCGCCGCGGACUUUGUGUCGCAUGGGAUAGAAGAAAGAAAAUUCCAGAAAAAAGGGUCCUACGGGAGGAUCUUCUCCCAUAUCAAUAUACAAUGAUAGAAGCAAUGUAAAUGACAUUCCUCAAGCUACAAAAUAACUUUGAUCCGAUAUGUGCAUAGGAAAGGGAGGAUAUGGAACUGUCUACAAGCAAAACUGCUAACAUAUAGCUGUGAAGAAACAUUCAUCCUUCAAACCGCGAGGGUGAUCGUAAAGGUUUCUUGAACGAGGUCAGAAGCAUUCAAAAAUUAGGAAUCGAAAUUAUAGUAAGCUUUUCGGGUUUUGUAUCGCGUGCCCAACAACUAUAGUUGGUUUACGAGUACUCGAAAGGGGUAGCUUGGCUACCAAUUUUGAGCAGAGAUGAAAGAAGCUCAAAAUUAGAUUGGCCAAAGAGAGUUACUAUUGUCACGGGUGUGCGCAUGCUUUAUCAGAUAUGCACCAUGAUUGUACACCCUCAAUUGUUCACCGGGACCAUAACAAGCAGAAAUGUUUUGAUGACAAGAGUAUGAGGCUCGUGUAUCAGAACUUUGGCAGCAAGUGAAGCUUCCUGAAGCGGAUUCUCUAAUGGGUGCACCUUGUAGGCACAUACGGAUAGUUUGCGCAGGAACCGUAGUUUUAUGUGCUCCUAAAUGAAAUAGAAUUUAUUAAUUCACAAAUAGAUGAACAAUUUCUCUGUCUCUGUCUCUUUCCUUUUUCAGAGUUCGAUUAUAAAAUGAAGGUGACUGAAAAGGUGAGUAUAUAGAUUGGAGUGUUCGAACUGGAAGGGGAUCAAAGGAAAGCAGCCAGGACGAAUUUUGUUCCUUCACGUCAACCCCAGCCGUGGAAAUAUGCAACUGAAAGAUGACUGACCAACGCCUUUUACAUCCCCUAUCCUCGAGAGGAGGAAGGUAAUAAUGUGGAUCAUAAAGAUGGCGAUUGCAUGCUUGCCAUGCCCAAUCCACAAUCUAGGCCAACAUGCAGGUUCGUUUCUCAACUGGUAUCGCCAGAGAACAGAUGAUUUACCGAAAAUGUAAAGCUAUUUUGUGAAAUACAUGAUGUAUUAGGAUAUCAAAUAGAUUAAAUAAUCUGGCAUAUUUAGUGUUAUGUAUUUUAUUGUCCACUUUAGGGUACUAACAUACAGGAUUCAUAUAAGGUGACAAGGUUGUUGGCUUGUACUUCUAAUACUGGUCUUCAGAAAAAGAUUUAUUAGCAUUAUGCAAGUUUCACAAUAUAUAGGAAAAAUUACACAGGGUCUUUGUAAAAUAAUCAGUUAUUGAUCUAGUAGUCUCGAUUGCACCCUCUUUUGAUUCUUAGUACCCAAACCUGCUCAGAAAACAAUGUAAAAUAAAACAAGGCUUUGCUUUUCUCUCAAAACAUCCCCACUGAUCCCCAAAACCGCCCCAAUUCACUCAAUCAAAGACAUAGCGAUUGAGGGUUCACUUACUAGGUUGAUACCUAGGUUUGCUCUUAUCGUUGCAAGAUAGAACUUCUCUGUCCCCUUUCCCCUCGGAAUGAUUGGCUAUAAAAAAAAAGAGAAAAACCUCAAACCCCCGGCCUAGCCUAAUCCCAACCCACCAACGCGGGGCCACUGACCCCGCCACCACCCUUAGUCCCUCUCUAUCGUUGACACUACUCUACCAUCCUCCCUAACAACCCCACCCUUUUCCAACCAUGUGGUCCGCUCUUCAUAUCUGGCCCACUGUCAACCCUCCCUACCCAUCUCUGCACCUCGCCCAUUCCGGCCCUUACAGUGGACUCGGUCCACCAUAAAACUUUCCUCACUAUCUAAGAAGAAGAACGGGAUUACCCAACCCACCAGGAAAACAAUGGAAACAGGAUAUUGUUUUUCUAAAAAUUGGGACAUGGACACGUAGGGGAUACAUUAAAUAAAUUUAUGAAAUAUUUAUAAUCAAUAAAUAAGUAACAUAUGUUCAUAGAAAAAAAUGGCAUAAUAGAUCAGAUUUGGUCCAAGUACAACUCGCCUUAUAAAGUUCAUUAGAAUAAUAAAUGUAAUGAGUUUUUUACAACAAAAAAUGGGCAUUGUAGAUCAAUAUUUGACACUUUAAACAACCAAAUGUGAAAUCAAACGAAUUGCAAACUAAUUAUUUUUCUGUCCCAAAGUAAAAACUCUUUUUGGCACACUUGGCUUCCCAAGUUUCCUUGAGGAAAAUGCCUGUACUAAAAACGUUCACAUUCUUUUUUUUUUUUAAUUAUAUAGUGCCUGAGAUAUCUUUUCUCUAGCAACGUUAGAAACAAGUUGAGGAUCCCCAACCACAAAUCCAUGCUUAUCAUCAAGACCUCACGGUGGGGGUGGCAAAAAAUUGGUAUAUGUAAUGGCAAUUACGAAAGAACAAAUAAAUAUGGUAUCCCUCUCCCCAACUGCCAUUUCCUCUUUCUUUAUCUAUCCAUCACCCUCUAUCUUCUCUCUUUAUAUAUACAUUUGGAAGUGAUUAUGUAUUAAGGAUAGAUACACCACACACACCACACACAACACCACACACACCACACACAAACACAAUAUAUAUAUAUAUAUGUAUAUAUAUAUAUCCUCUUACAAAACUGAAAACUGCAAGGCGCUGCUAGGCUAAUUGGACAAUUUCUAUUUUUUAAGGAAUUUAACGGAUCCCUUACUGAAGAUCAAAAGCUAGAACUAGAUAACAUCUGGUUGCAGUAGUAAUAACUCAUAGUGCGAUGCGCAUUUGCUUCGUGAAUUAGAAUCUGUUCUUUUUACUUGAAUGAAACUAGAUUCGGGAACUGAACCGUUAAUAGAACUUGAUUCUGUGCAAAGUUUUGUUUUCGGUGAAGAUAAAAAAACGAGUCAUGAUCCUUGUUUCCAUGUGGGCAGUGAGAGCGGUGUUAUGAUAGAAACUUCUAAUUGGCUGCCAAAUACAGCCCUUUUAUCAAAAGCCAGAUGCAAACAAGAGGAUUUUCGCUAUUAAAAUCUCAGAUCAAAAUACUAUCUAUGGAUGGAUACAAAUCAAACACAAUACAAAACGAGAAUUGGCCGCCAGUAUUUGACAAAAUAGGAUGCUUCAAGUUUUGUAGAAUUCCAAGUCCUUUGGCCUACUGGACCCGAAACAGAUGCACUACACCUCAUCUCCCCACUGUCGAUUUCACAUUCUGAAUCUUUGGUCCCUUGUUCUAUUGUUCACUUGAUUUUUGUGUACCAGUAUUUUUGUCAAUUGUGUACGAGAGAAUGUAAGCUCACUCACAUAUUUUAAGCCCAACUCUUUGUCCAUAAUUACAAAAAAAAAGGAUUAGGUGUGUGAUUCAUGCCAGUGACCAAAUCGAAUGCUAACACAAGUGUUGAUGUCCAAAUGUAAUGCUACAUAACUAUUCUAUUGAACAUUCUGCAUAAUGGUAGGUGUCACAGGGGCAAUUUUUCACUACUAAAAACUCAUGUGCGAUGGCACUAAGUGUUGCGCUUAGUCUCAACCAAACUUUGCACACAUAUAAUGAGAAGUAAGAAUUCGAAGGAAGGCACACAAAUGAUUUACAUGAAAUCAAUCCCAACCUUUUGUUACACCAGAAAUAAUAUAAUACACUUAGGAUUUUGUACAGAACACACUUUGCACAAUCCUGGCACACUAAGUCUACUUAUAGAAACAUUACAUGCAACUAGAACCCCCCCUAACUGCUACGAUAUUUGGACCAAUAACUGUUAAUAACUACUUCAGACAACCUAUUGUAUAGAGACAACUUUGAAUAGAAUCAUACAAGUGUAAUUGCCAACACCCACAACUGCUUGUAACUGCCUUGUACACACACACCCAGCAACAUGCUGAUGCCAGUCCAUGCCCAGUGCAUAGGGCUUGUUGCCUGCAUUGUGCGGAAUGUCGUGCUCCCAUCUUUGUUCAAAGCCCACACAAUCACGCAUUUGGGCACAAUUCCGCUUGUGCCUUGCAUCUUCUCAGCAACAUCACUAUCUUGAACAUUUGCUACCUUGUCAAGGCAUACCUCCCUUAUGGCUUUGCCAUCAAGGGUAGCGCAGGUGCAAGGUGCUACCACGCACGAACCCCGUGCCUGUGUCGAAGGACUAGUAUGCUAACAGUAGGGAAUGUGGAACAUGAUCCCUUGUUGGUAGGGAAAAUUGGACCUAGUCAAUAAGGACUAUCUCAUAUGACAAUGUCUUACCAGCUAGGCAAUUUAAACAUCACUAACUACAAAAAUUUGAAAAAUUUACAUGGGUGGAUGUGUUUUUUUUUUUUUUUUUUUUUUUUUUUUUUUUUUUUUUUUUUUUUUUUUUUUUUUUUCCGGCGAGGCAGUGAUCGUAUCCUAACACCACCAAGAAGAUGGACCAGCGGCUGAUACUGAGUUAGAAAGGCAAGGGAAGCCUGUUAGGCCGAGUUCAGUAGAAUUAUGUUUCAAGUGCCUCCACUGGCUUGUUAACGUCUCUGACUGCUUGGUGUGUGUGUGCUAGGUUUACAUUGGAUUGUUUUCGUGGGGGGUGGGUUUUAUUAGUCCACACGGUCGCUUUCAGGUAACUAGAUUCUGUCAAGAACUUCACAAAGCAAGAGCAUGAUAGAAGGGACAUAGUCAAGUCUUUGUGCUUGUUGAUUCAUAGCUUUUCCUCCCUAAGUGAAAGGACCCAACAUGACUUCAAGUCUCUCUAAAAUGUUAAUAAAAAACUCCUAGCCACACAACAAUACAAAGGCCUUGUGUAGCAUAAUGUGUCUGUAAAGUAGAACCUUAAACCAUCGUCAAGUAUACAAAAAGAAAAAAAUAUAGGAACUUUAGAGAAACUACUCUGCCUUGUUUCCAUAUUUCUGUUUGCACUACUCUUUUAUUCACCCAAAUUUGCUUCUGCUUCUGGUGAAGAGGCUAAUGCUCUCCUCAAGUGGAAAGCUUCCCUUCAAAGUGCCAAAAAUUCUCUGUUAACUUUGUGGGCACUUUCUUUUCAUAAUGACUCCAGUUCAAGUGCAAGCAUCCCAUGCAUUGGUUCGGAGUUUCCUACAAUACUGAAGGAAGCAUCAUAAGAUUGAACCUCAUAGUGAAGCUUCGGGUUUUGGUUUUGUUCACAUGCCCAAACAUCUUUUUGGUCUAUGAGUACCUCAAAAAAGGGUAGCUUGGCAUACAAUUUUGAGCAGAGAUGAAAGAAGCUAAACCAUUGGAUGGCCUAGAGGGUGAAAAAUUAUUAAGGGUGUUGUGCAGCUUUGUAAUACAUGACACCCAUAUUGCACAACCCCGCCAAAUUGUUUACCGCACCUAUCGAGCAGCAGUAUUUUGAUUGACGAGACGUACGAGGCUCAUGUUUCAGACUUUAGCACGAUAAAGCUUCUGAACCUGGAUUCCUCUAAUUGUAGUGCAUUUGAAGGCACAUAUAGAAUAUGUUGCACCAGGUAACCUCAAUUAAUAUAGAAUCUAAUAAAGAACAAAUAGAUGAACAUCUCUAUAUCUCUCUAUCUGUUUUUGCAGACCUUACUUGGACAAUGAAGGUGACUGAAAAGUGUGAUCUGUAAAGCUUUGGAGUAUUAGCCCUAGAAGUGAUUAAAGGAAUGCAUCCAGGAGAUUUUGUUUCCGCAUUCCCAACACCCGCUGUGGAAAUUGUACAUUACAUCUAGACCAAUGCUUUUUACCUCCCUCUCCUGAAGAUCAUUAUAAAUAUGGCAAUUGCAUGCUUGCAUGCCAAUCCACAAUCUAGGCCACCAAUGAAGAUUGUUUCAUAGUUGUUAUCUACCAGAACAAUUUCUUAGAGCCUCAGAGAUUCCUAUACCAGUAGUGCAAAGCUAUUUUGUCUAGGAAUUACCAUUAGAUAUCAAUGAAACCAAAUGCUCUCAGCAUAUUGUGGUGUAACAUACGUUUCUUUUUCUUUUUUGGGUAUCAAUUUAUAUAGGACUAUGUAUUAUGAGUGAAGAUUGUUUGCAUGUGCCUUUCAUACUGAAUGAAAGAUGACUAUCGCAAUAAAUGCAAUUGUUGAUACAAAUUAGGAUUUAGGACAACUUACACCAGUGGUCUCUGUAAUUUUCUUUUGAGCAUUUAUAAGAACCAUUGGUCUUUCAGUUUUCCAAUUGUCUCACCGACAAUCCUUAUUAAGAUUGGAUAGUAUAAUGACCAACAUUAUUGCUCAUUGACAACUCUUAAGAGAGGGGCAUUUUUCAUUUUAGACAUUACACCCCUCUUUCUUCCUUGAAAUGGAUGCACUGCUAGAUACAUUUUGUUUGCAACAAGAAUCUUAUUGCGACAAGAAUUUUCUUCUUGUAAUCAAGGAAGUCAUCCAAUAUUGUUGACCUUAGAAAGCAUUUCUUACAAGAAGUUGCGAUGGUGGGCUUUAGUUUCUACCCAAAAAACCAAGCAGCCCUUCUCAGCAAUAGUCGUGUCGCUGGUGUAUGACAAAAUAAGAUCCUCUAAUUUUUGUAGAUUUCCAUGUCCAUAGGUAUAGGGAUGUCAUUCAUGCCAGUGCCCAAAUGUAAUGCUGACACAAGUGUUCGUGUCCUAUAUCUUCAGUGAUUCAUAAUUGUUGGAUCAGCCUUCUGACAUCUCAUUAGAAAACCAAUUCAUGCCUAGUGAAGGAUAUUAAAUCUCACAUAAAUUAAUUAGUUUUGUUUGCUAGAACUGGUUACAGAGUUGGUUGAAGUUAGUUUUAGUAGUUUUAGUAGUUAUCCAUUUGAGUAGUUAGAGUAGUAAUUCCUUAUCUUGAUUUUGUAACUAAUUCUAAUAUAAAUACACAAUGUAAUAGAAGUUCAAUAGAUAUACAAGAAAUUCUCUUUUCUUCUCAUUUCGAAUUUGUUAUGGUAUCAUAGCAAUCUGCUUCUCUUCUUCUCUGUUUUUAUUGAUUCUAUUCUUCUCUGUUGAUUUCUAUGGAAAAUUCAAAAUCUGAAAAUUCUAGAUCAUCAAUCAGCAAGUCAGCCAUUGAUGAACCUUCAAGGCCUUAUUUCCUCCAUCAUUCUGAUGGUCCAGGUCUUGUUCUUGUCUCGCAACCUUUGAUAGGAGAUAACUAUGCCUCCUGGAAUCAAGCAAUGAUAAUCUUUAUCAGUCAAGAACAAGUCACAAACCUGAAGGUAAUGACAUAAACCUUCUUAAUUCAUUGAUUAGGAAUAAUAAUGUAGUUAUUUCCUGGACCCUGAACUCAGUUUCCAAAGAAAUUUCUGCUAGUGUUAUUUUCUUUGAUUCUGAAUGUGAAAUCUGGAUUGAUCUUAAGGAUCGUUUCCAACAAAGAAAUGGGCCUAGAAUUUUUCAGCUACGUCAAGAAUUGUUAAGUCAUAUUCAAGAUCAAAGCCCUUCUAGUGUCUAUUUCACUAAACUAAAGACUGGGAAGAAUUGAAUAACUAUAGACCUGCAUGUUCUUGUGGAAAUUGCACCUGCGACGGUGUCAAGAAACUCAAUUCUCAUUACCAAAUGGAAUACAUCAUGUCAUUUCUUAUUAGUUUACAUGAUUCUUUUGCACAAAUUCGAGGUCAAUUACUCCUCAUGGAUCCUCUACGUCCCAUAAACUAAGUAUUUUCUUUAAUUUAUCAAGAGGAACAUCAAACGAAAAUUGGUAUUCAUACAAAUUCAAGUUCUAAUUCUGCUGAUACUAUAGCUUUCGCUAUCAAGAAUGAUAAUCUUAAGAGGUUCACAGAUGACAUUGGUUCUUAUAAAUCUUAAAGUUCUAAUUGUGGAGGAUAUCGAGGCAGUCACAAUUCUUCUAACUAUAAUUCUGGAGGAUAUAAAGGACAGAAAAAGGAUAGACCUUUUUGUACACAUUGUAAUUUUCAUGGUCAUACCAUUGAGAAAUGUUACAAAAUUCAUGGCUAUCUACCUGGUUCAAGCCAAGAUCAAGAGAUUCUUAUACAACUUCCAGUAAUCACAGUGCUGUUAAUCAGAUUAGAUUUCUAAUCAGUCAUGUUCCAGAUCAGAAGCCAUAAAUGAUCAACAAGAAAAUGUUGGAAACUUUGUUACAAAUCUCAGUAACAACCAAUACCAACAGUUAAUGUCUAUGCUAUCCAAUCAUUUGGCAUGUUCCGUAAAAGAUCAGCACGAUAGUUCAUCUACUUCCUAUAAUACAGGUACAUGUUUCUCAGUAUCAUUAAAUCCUAUUCUCUCCUCCACUCAAUUUUGGAUAGUUGAUUCGAGAGCAACCAGAC
rnacentral:lncRNA from 1 species